GUACUCUGGGGUCCUGCCAAAUAGGAACCUUCACUUCCACAGCACCUUCUCCAGUCUAGGAAGUCCCUCCUUUUAUCUCACCCAACCCUCUCUUGCUGUUGUGGAAAAGAAUUUCUGACUCUAGGCCAGGUGACCCCUGAGUCUGGGCCCCUCCCCUUUCCAGGCUUCCCGGCACCCUCUCUCACACAUCGGGGACCUCUGGGAGACUCCACAGCUACGGGUAUAUCCCUGAGAAAGAACCCCCUCCCCCACACCAUCCUUCCCUUUUUCUGUGUGUCUCGCCCUCUUCAUCCUUAGACCUCCCCUCCGCCCUCAGGAACACGGUGGCAUUGUUCCCCUGGACGGGGCCCUGCCUCAGGGCCUGGACUGGUGCCCAGGUAGGGGGCCAGGAACAAAACCCAGCCAAGGAGGGGUAGGAUGCCCUGUGUGGCCACACCAACCUCCUUGGGCAUGUCGGGCUGCCACUUGGCGUUCUGCAGGCAGGACAGAGGCGAAUGGACCCCAGCGCACACUGCACCAUGCCACAGCACGCACGGGUCAGGGCCUUCCCAGAACUGGGCGCAGUUUUUCUAACAACUUCCAACAAAGACUGCCACGGAGCCCCAUUUUGUGCCCUUUGAAUAAUGCUAGGGGAGAUGAAUGGCCCGGCACAUGCCAGGUGGGGCACUCCAGGGACCGGUUAGCGGCUCAGCUCAGCACUCUCACACUUUGGGGUCUACAUGGAGUUGGGGUUGAAGCCAUACCAAGUUGUCACCCCAGAGGCCCAAGCCCUGGGGACUCUUAAGCUUCCUUCCACGUGGGGCCCAAGAGGCAGGUUGGCCCAGACUGCAGAAUCUGGCAGGUUGGGGCAUGAGAGAAAAAAGAGCGGCCCACCCGUCUGGGGCCCUGGGGGAGGAUUUGGGGUGGCACAGAAUUCUCCAACACAGGGCGGGCCCUGGAAGCUGUGAGAGAUGGCUUCAGGGCCCCCGAGGAGGUAUAAAUGACGACAAAAGGUUGGACUCCAGAGGCUGAGGCAGGAGAAUCACAGGUUGAAGACCAGCCUGGGCUGCAGAAUGUGACCCUGUCUAGGAGGUAGGAAGAUCAAUUCAAAGGCAUCCUUGGGAUACAUGAGCUCAAAGGCAGCACCCAGGUCCAGCAUGAACUUGGCAGUCAUGCCCACACACUCUAGAAGAUUCCAGAUAUAACAAUUCCAGCAACCAUCAAAUCAUCCACCUGGAAUUCUGACCUGUAUCCUCAAGAGAUGGCAAUGAUCUGAGACUGUUUCUCAAACUAGGAAUGCCCAGGACUGCAGGCCUGAUCUAAACCCUGACAUGGGGAAGGCCACCAGGGGAGAGCCCCUGCCUGGCUCCUCUCCGGGCUGGAGGCUCGAACCCAGACCAAAGGAGGCUGGCGGCGGCCGUUGCCGGGGAGUAGCCGUUUCUGGUGCCUCCACAGACCACUUCUGAGUGUCCUGCCUGCUCAGACCCCUGUCGCCUCAGUUUCCCCACCUACUGAAGGAGACAGGAAGAGGCGACCUCCAGAUCGGUUUGAGAGUUCCAUCUAUCAAAGUGAGCCAAAGGCUAGCACACCCCAGUAGCCCAGCCCGUUGCCACAAGGAGGAACAGGGGGUACAGGUGCCCUCCAUGGUUUCACCCAGCAGCGCAAGGCGACGUGGGUACUCCCGGAAGUGGGUGUGGGUCAUAGGCCAAAGUAGUUGCCAUGGAAGUGACUGUAGAGGACACUUGUGGAAGCUGGAGCAGGCAGCACCUGCUGCGGGUGGCGUCCGUCCGUCCGGAGGGGGCCUGGGCAUGAGUCAUUGCCCAGCAAUGAGGUUGAGUCACAGGGUGGGGUCCCCCGCACUCCCCCCACCAGCCGCUCCUACAAAGGACCUUUGAGAAGAACUCAGCAUCCCCGCCCAGCCUCCAGGCCGUCUCUGGUGUUAGUUGUGGGCAUAGACACUUCUGGGCUGCCCCCAGGAGGCUGGCCUGGGCCUGGGUGUCUGCCACAUGUGUGAAAAGUCACCAUCCAGGGCCUAGCAUUCCCAGGGAGGGGGCUUCCUGGCCACCAGAGCCACUGCCAGGACAGCAGACGAUCUUUCUUUCUUUCUUUCUUUCUUUCUUUGUUUCUUUCUUUCCUUCCUUCCUUCUUUCCUUCUUUCUUUUCCUUCCUUCCUUCCUUCCUUCCUUCCUUCUUUACUUCCUUCCUUCCUUUCUUGCAGAGCCCACGCAGGCACUCAGCAGGCUGAGUCAGGAAUAGCGGGUGCUGGAGGCAUCGCCCCAUCUUCAGGACCACUCUAGCCUGAGGGGCUUCUCUCCUAGAGACCUUGGAGCCUUCUCAGUCAGGACACAGACAGCCAUACCAGGCCUGAGGAUGCCAAGAAGCCUCCACUUGGGUACAAGGGUUAAGAAGGAGCCAGUAGCCAGCGGUGGUGUUGUACACCUUUAAUCCCAGCACUCAGGAGGCAGAGGCAGGUGGAUCUCUGAGUUUAAGGGCUGCUGGUCUACAGAAAGAGUUCCAUGAUAGCCAGGGCUACACAGAGAAACCCUGUUUCAAAAAAGAAAAAGGAGCCAUUUGUGGGAGGUGUAUACCUUUAGUCCCAGCACUCAGGCAAGUGGCUCUCUGCAUGUUUGAAGCCAGACUGGACUACAUAUCAAGUUCUAGGCCAGCAAGGAUACAGAAUGAGACCCCAGGUGGCUUAAAAGGUCAGCUACAGGGAGUGGGUGGUGGAGUGGGGGUACCUGGAGGUGGCUCAGCAGUCCUCCAGAGGAUCCCAGCACCCACAUGGCUGCUCACAACCCGCAGUAACUCCAGUUCCACGGAACCAGAUGUUAUCUUAGACAUGCACACAGGCAAAACAACCAUACUUAUAAAUAAAAGAGAGAUUUAAUAAAGCAUCAAAAGAGCUGUUCA